GCCCUGGUAUAGCUCAGAUGGCACAGCACAAGGUUCUUCAUCACUGGAUUGUGGGUUCAAGCCCCACAUUGGGCA